rnacentral:lncRNA from 1 species
GCUUUGGUUGCAGAGAAAGAUGAGCACCCAUAUUCAAGUUCCCUGGAAGGAGAGUCAAGGGAAUUGUUGGAGGCCUACAGGUUCAUGGGUCCCGAGCUACAUCUGCUUUCCUUCUGUACAUGGUUCAUCCCCAUGGAUGUAACUGAUAGCCCAAAGCACAGUUCCAUUACUUACCACCUGUCCAUCCUUCCCAGGCACAGAGGAGCUUCUACUAUUAACUGAUAAGA